CCAUCCUUUUAUUUCCUAUCUUUCUAUCCUAGUUUCCGUCUUUACUUGUGCGAACAGAAUAGGCAUUUCUAGUGUCCCUAUCGUUCAAACUAAUAUCUCUAGUUUUCUAUUUCUUUUCUUUUUAUUAACAAGUCAAGUCUAGUAUUCCCUAUCAAAAGUUGUGCGUAAUCAUUUUAUCAUUGCAAGUCUAGUUUCGAUUUCGCACGCUCAUUGAUUAGGGCCAAUUAUUUCUAUUGAAUACCUACUGUCUAGUAUGCAGCUCAGGUUCAAUUGCCACUGUCUAGUCAUGCAGGGCAAUCCAGUGUUUUAGACCAAGUUUCGUUUAUUACUGUCAAGCUAUACAGUAUAAACAAGAUCAAGUAUAAGCCUACUGUCUAGUUAUGCAGUAGGCACAAGCUAGUAUUCCUAGUUCUAGUUAGGUUCUCUUAUUAUUGUCUAGUAUGCAAUACAAGUGACCAAAUAUUUCUAAUUUUCAAGUCUAGUUUCUCUUGUUAUUGUCGAGUAUGCAAUACAAGUGCUUAUAUGCCUAUCUAGGUAAUUAUUAAUUAAUCACAAGUCUAGUUCUAGUGCAUCCUUAUUACAAGUCUAGUUAAGUACGUGAUCCUAGGCAAGUCUAGUGAAAUUAGGUGCGUACAUACGCUUAUCUGAUAAGGAUUGUCAUACAAGUUCAAGUUUUACCUAAUCCAGUAAAUUUCGAACAAGUCAAUCGAGGUCUGCAUUGUUUCGUCUGCAAGGGCAAGCAUAGAAUAUACGACUGUCCAGCGUUCCUGUCCAUGAGCAUCGAGGAGCGGAUACAAAAGGCUAGUUCACUGAAGCUCUGUCUGAACUGUCUGCGGAGCGGCCAUAUUGCAGGCGCUUGCAGGUCCAAGUGUGUCCAUCUCGAGGCGGUGAGUGAAUUGUCGAGAGACGCAUUCAUGUUAACACUGCGUAGGUUUAUCGCUCGCAGGGAGAUCUGAGACCUGGUGACUUGGUGCUCAUCAAGGAGGACAACACGUCACCACUCCAGUGGCGCUUGGGUCGUGUACAACAACUCUUCCCGGGCGCAGACGGCAUUCCGCGCGUCGCUGACGUGGCUACCGCCAGG